CAUUUUAUCAUAUUGUGAUAACACAUAAACCAUUGUAUAGCACAUUUUUACAAUAUAAAAUCAUUUUACUAAAAGUUUGUUCCCAAGGUACAUUUUUUAAGACAAGUUGGAUAGAAUCUUUCAUAUUCCCCAAAACAAGUUUGAAAUACAAGUCCACUCACCGGUAUUCGUUGAGCCUUUAGCCGACUCUUAAUUCCCCUAAUGAUCCAAUUGGGGUGAUGGGGCUUCAUUAGCACCUACCAUGAAAUUAACAUUUCCAUAAUGUCAAUUUACAUACUAUAAACCCUAAAAGCUAUCUUUUAGCUAGCUUUCAAUUGCCAUUUAAAUGGCCAUCCAUUUUCACUUUCCUAUCACUCCAAAGUGAAUUAACAAUCUCAACUACAAAAUAUUCACAAAUCAAAUCUCUAGUCAUUCUCAACACUUAAAACCCAAUACUAGUUUACUACUCACCUUGAUAGCUUUGUAACUUUGAACUUCUUUCCAAAAGCUCUCAAGCUAUUAAUAAAGCUUCCUCUUUCUCUCCUUAAAACACCUAACUAGUGAGAGAUUAUGGAAACAAGAUUUUCAUCAUUUUCAAGGGUUUUAAAGUGAGAGAGUGGAAGAAUACAAGGGUUCUAGUCAAAAGGGCACCAAGGUAUGAAAAUUAGAACUAGAGAGAGAAAGUUAUGAAAGCUUCACAUCAAGCUUCCAUGGAGGAAUUGAAGAAACGUGAGAGGGAAGAGAACAAGAAGAAGAAGCUGC
rnacentral:lncRNA from 1 species